GGCUGCACCUCACUCUCUACUGACAGUCUUCAGUAGAGAGAAAGUCGGUUGGGUAACGCAGGAACCUGUGGCAGUCAUGCCUGGUGUUCUUCAUUUUCUCAAAAUGGGAGUGUCCAGCAAUUCAACUUGGCCAUGGCCGGGCAGCUCAAUCGGUUAGAGCGUCGUCUCUAAUACACCAAGAUGGAACCUAGGGGGCCAAUUUAUUAAUUUGUUCACUCAUCGAAUAAAGACUGAUUGAUCACCAACUUUGGGCCAAAUCCUGGAGGAAGAAAGGCGAAUAAGGCCCAACCUUCACUGGCCAGAGCGGGGAGAGUGACUAAACAAGUGACCAUCCUGAAUGUGUAACUGCGAAUAAUGAAGGUGUCACAGAAGAGCUUUGAAAGGAAGGAGCGGCCCUUUCCCCCCGGCACCGUCUCACCUGUGCCGUCUGUGGGCGGUUUCUCUGCACACUGGGGUUGAAAUCGUCUAAAUCCACGCCUGGAGCACUGCCCAAUAUUGCAAACGGGAGGGUAAAGUUGGCAUGAAUUUUAUGGAGAAAAAUUUGCCAAUAGCUAGCUAAAUUUUCCAGCAUUUUCUCUUCUAGGAAGAUACUUUUAUUUGCAUGUGUAAGGAAUCACAUGUGAACAGGGUUUUGUACUACAGUGCCAUUGGUGAUAACAAACACUGGAGAUAAACUUAAUGCUCAAUGUUAAUCACAGAGAUGGUAU